rnacentral:rRNA from 1 species
UACAGAGGUCCCAAGCGUUGUUCGGAUUCACUGGGCGUAAAGGGUGCGUAGGUGGCUUGGUAAGUUCGAUGUGAAAUCUCCGGGCUUAACCCGGAAAUGGCAUUGAAUACUAUUGAGCUGGAGGUUUGGAGGGGGGACUGGAAUUCUCGGUGUAGCAGUGAAAUGCGUAGAUAUCGAGAGGAACACCAGUGGCGAAGGCGGCUUCCUGGCCUGUUCUUGACGCUGAGGCGCGAAAGCUAGGGGAGCAAACGGG